CGCAACCCUUGCCUUAGUUGCCAGCAGUUCGGCUGGGCACUCUAAAGGGACUGCCGGUGUUAAACCGGAGGAAGGUGGGGGAUGACGUCAAGUCCUCAUGGCCUUUACUGACCAGGGCUACACACGUACUACAAUGGCCGAUACAAAGGGCAGCGACGACUGCGGAGGUGAAGCCAAUCCCGUAAAAAUCGGUCUCAGUCCGGAUUGGAGUCUGCAACUCGACUCCAUGAAGUUGGAAUCGCUAGUAAUCGUGGAUCAGCAUGCCACGGUGAAUACGUUCCCGGGCCUU
rnacentral:rRNA from 1 species